CCUACGGGAGGCUGCAGUGAGGAAUAUUGGUCAAUGGGCUUACGCCUGAACCAGCCAAGUCGCGUGAGGGAAGACUGCCCUAUGGGUUGUAAACCUCUUUUGUCAGGGAGCAACGCCGGCUACGUGUAGCCGGACUGAGAGUACCUGAAGAAAAAGCAUCGGCUAACUCCGUGCCAGCAGCCGCGGUAAUACGGAGGAUGCGAGCGGUAUCCAGAUUGAUUGGGUUUAAAUGUUGCGUAGGCGUACUGCCAAGUCAGCGGUAAAAUCGCGGGGCUCAACCUCGAUCCGAAGUUGAAACUGGCGUUGCUGAGGGGGCGAGAAGAAUGCGACAGGCGUGGUGGAGCGGUGAAAUGCAUA
rnacentral:rRNA from 1 species